rnacentral:rRNA from 1 species
CCUACGGGAGGCUGCAGUGGGGAAUAUUGGACAAUGGGGGGAACCCUGAUCCAGCCAUGCCGCGUGUGUGAAGAAGGCCCUCGGGUUGUAAAGCACUUUCAGUGAGGAAGAACGCCUGGUGGUUAAUACCCAUCAGGAAAGACAUCACUCACAGAAGAAGCACCGGCUAACUCCGUGCCAGCAGCCGCGGUAAUACGGAGGGUGCGAGCGUUAAUCGGAAUUACUGGGCGUAAAGCGCGCGUAGGUGGCUUGAUAAGCCGGUUGUGAAAGCCCCGGGCUCAACCUGGGAACGGCAUCCGGAACUGUCAAGCUAGAGUGUAGGAGAGGAAGGUAGAAUUCCCGGUGUAGCGGUGAAAUGCGUAGAGAUCGGGAGGAAUACCAGUGGCGAAGGCGGCCUUCUGGACUGACACUGACACUGAGGUGCGAAAGCGUGGGUAGCAAACAGGAUUAGAUACCCUGGUAGUC